rnacentral:SRP_RNA from 1 species
UUCUGGUCCCCUCGCAACGGCAGGUUGUGAACUCCGCCAGGCCCGGAAGGGAGCAACGGUAGCAGCGGACUCGUGUGCUGAGGUGCGGCUGGAUUGG